UUAAAGGAAUUGACGGAAGGGCACCACCAGGAGUGGAGCCUGCGGCUUAAUUUGACUCAACACGGGGAACCUCACCAGGCCCAGACACCGGAAGGAUUGACAGAUUGAGAGCUCUUUCUCGAUUCGGUGGUUGGUGGUGCAUGGCCGUUCUUAGUUGGUGGAGCGAUCUGUCUGGUUGAUUCCGAUAACUAACGAGACUCUACCCUACUAACUAGUCGGUGGAUCGUUUCCCGAGACGGGUUUACCC
rnacentral:rRNA from 1 species